rnacentral:lncRNA from 11 species
UUUUCCAUUCAUUUUUCCACAAAUGAACCUAUUUGUCCUUCCCAGAUGUUCCCCUCGUCCUCCAAGAGUUUGCCAAAGGCAGUGAUGGGGAAUUCCUUUUCUCACCUUGAUGUAAAUCUCCAGAAGGAAGAGAGAGAAGGGAGCAUACAUUUCAGCAAAACUCUGGGUCUAGAGGAAUCCUGGAGGAAAGAUAACAUUUCGAAACACAGAAUUGUCCUUUUUGUGGCUCUCUUGACACACAUCCCAGUUUGAAUGAAGAACACAGGAAUUACUUUGCUAGAUGGUAAGCUCACAAAGACUUUGGAUACCGUGUUAUAGACAAAUUGGAAUCAAUGCUAAAAGUGUCACAAAGAAGUAAAAACACUAUUCUAACAUCAGUCUUGUUCAUCAAACCUAAAAGAGUCUGAAGCCUUUUCAACAAUUUUACCUGCAGUUGUCUGUCUGUGCAAAUAAUCAUUUACAUACUUCUGAAAUAAUAUAAGCAACUGAAAACAAUGGUGUCUCAGGUGCCAAUUCAUAGAAAUUCAUGAGAUUUGCUUUUUUUGUUCUUGUUCUUUCAUUCGCUUUGAGUGUGUUUUGACCUUGGG